rnacentral:rRNA from 1 species
GAGAGCUUGCUCUCUGAUUCAGCGGCGGACGGGUGAGUAAUGCCUAGGAAUCUGCCUGGUAGUGGGGGACAACGUUUCGAAAGGAACGCUAAUACCGCAUACGUCCUACGGGAGAAAGCAGGGGACCUUCGGGCCUUGCGCUAUCAGAUGAGCCUAGGUCGGAUUAGCUAGUUGGUGAGGUAAAGGCUCACCAAGGCGACGAUCCGUAACUGGUCUGAGAGGAUGAUCAGUCACACUGGAACUGAGACACGGUCCAGACUCCUACGGGAGGCAGCAGUGGGGAAUAUUGGACAAUGGGCGAAAGCCUGAUCCAGCCAUGCCGCGUGUGUGAAGAAGGUCUUCGGAUUGUAAAGCACUUUAAGUUGGGAGGAAGGGCAGUAAGUUAAUACCUUGCUGUUUUGACGUUACCGACAGAAUAAGCACCGGCUAACUUCGUGCCAGCAGCCGCGGUAAUACGAAGGGUGCAAGCGUUAAUCGGAAUUACUGGGCGUAAAGCGCGCGUAGGUGGUUCGUUAAGUUGGAUGUGAAAGCCCCGGGCUCAACCUGGGAACUGCAUCCCAAACUGGCGAGCUAGAGUAUGG